CGAGCGGCAUUCGUUCGCGAUAUCCGACCGUUUUGUUGUUGUCGGCGGUGCGAAGGCGUUUGGACGGCGCGAAUCAGUCGUCGUCAAAGCGUCUUGCAGAAGGACGCCCGAGACGCUUUCAGUAGCGAUUCCUGCGGCGUCGUUAUCGCGCUCUCUUGUCGAUCGCGUUUUGUUUGUAAUAAGAGUCGUCUUGGAAACUUUUUGACCGGAGAACCGAUUUGCAUUUUGCCGCAAUCGAACGGCAGUGUGGGUUCGGUUGGUUUGGGGGUUAGUGGCGAGUUCUUGGACGACUCGGAUUGGGUUUUCCAACAUUCAAGUGAGUUGGCGACUAAAUAAAUAAAAACUGUCUUCAUUCAUAUGUGAGAUGCAGUGGUGUGGAUUGCUGCCAUGACCAUUACAACGAGGAGACGAGCUUUGGGGUUACAAAAACUUAAAACUGCUAUUGGAACGACACCGAUGUUGUUGAAGUAGACGACUCUGCGCUAGAUCGCGGAAAUCUAUUACAUAAUAAUUUGUGGGUGUCUAAAUAAUCGACACAACCUUGAACGAACACUUGUCUUAGAACAGGUAACGAAUACACAAGAGGACAAUUAAUAAUAUUCUCGAAUCUUAUUUUAACCGGACGAGCAAUUCAUAAUUUACAUCGCGUUUACUCACAAGGCGCAUAAACAUCAUCUUGACAAAGGUA